rnacentral:rRNA from 1 species
UACGUAGGGUGCGAGCGUUGUCCGGAAUUAUUGGGCGUAAAGAGCUUGUAGGCGGUUUGUCGCGUCUGCUGUGAAAUCUCAAGGCUCAACCUUGAGCUUGCAGUGGGUACGGGCAGACUAGAGUGUGGUAGGGGAGACUGGAAUUCCUGGUGUAGCGGUGAAAUGCGCAGAUAUCAGGAGGAACACCGGUGGUGUAGACGGCUUUCUGGACCGUAACUGGACGCUGAGACACGAAAGCCGUGGGUAGCAAACAGG